CCGAUCUAAAGGAAGGCAAGUCACGAUGAUCCGUGACUUCGGGAUAAGGAUUGGCUCUAAGGGCUGGGUCGGUCGGGCUGAGCUGACCCUACGAGCCGAUGAUCCGUGACUUCGGGAUAAGGAUUGGCUCUAAGGGCUGGGUCGGUCGGGCUGAGGUGCGAAG